rnacentral:lncRNA from 1 species
CAAAGUUGCAUAACAAAUUUCAUGAUCCAUAUAUCAAAAUUCCAUAGCAUCCAUACAUCCAAAAUUCCAUAGCAUCCAUAUAUACAUAUAGUUCCAUAGCAUCCAUACAUACNNNNNNNNNNNNNUAGCUCCAUAGCAAAUAUAAUACACAGCGAUACAACCCAAAUCUAGGUUUGCGGAGAGAAAGAUGGGCCCGUGCUCUGGACGGGAGUAUGAAAAGUGGAUGGUAUCCCUCAUGUUUUCUUGCUUAAUUAAUCUCGAUGUCAAAAAACAUCUUACAUUUUGAGAGAGUUGAUCAAUUAUAUAUCUUUGGGAUGCAAUCCUAACUAAUCUAUUUUUAAGAGAGCUGCCGUCAUGCUGCCUUGUGUGCUGGUUAAUGACCCCAUGCCUUAAGUAGCCUUGAAUCCAUAACAAUAAGAUAGAGCAUAUAAGGUGUAC